GAUGAACGCUGGCGGCGUGCCUAAUACAUGCAAGUCGAGCGAACAGACGAGGAGCUUGCUCCUCUGACGUUAGCGGCGGACGGGUGAGUAACACGUGGAUAACCUACCUAUAAGACUGGGAUAACUUCGGGAAACCGGAGCUAAUACCGGAUAAUAUAUUGAACCGCAUGGUUCAAUAGUGAAAGACGGUUUUGCUGUCACUUAUAGAUGGAUCCGCGCCGCAUUAGCUAGUUGGUAAGGUAACGGCUUAUCAAGGCAACGAUGCGUAGCCGACCUGCGAGGGUGAUCGGCCACACUGGAGCUGAGACACGGACCAGACUCCUACGGGAGGCAGCAGUAGGGAAUCUGCCGCAAAGGGCGAGAGCCUGACGGAGCAACGCCGCGUGAGUGAUGAAGGUCUUCGGAUCGUAAUACUCUGUUAUUAGGGAAGAACAAAUGUGUAAGUAACUAUGCACGUCUUGACGGUACCGAAUCAGAAAGCCACGGCUAACUACGUG
rnacentral:rRNA from 1 species